AUUGAACGCUGGCGGCAGGCCUAACACAUGCAAGUCGAACGAGUGGCGGACGGGUGAGUAAUGUCUGGGCAACUGCCUGAUGGAGGGGGAUAACUACUGGAAACGGUAGCUAAUACCGCAUACCAUCGGAUGUGCCCAGCUGGGAUUAGCUAGUAGGGGGGGUAAAGGCUCACCUAGGCGACGAUCCCUCGCUGGUAUGAGAGGAUGACCAGCCACACUGGAACUGGGACACGGUCAAACCUCCUACGGGAGGCAGCAUUGGGGAAUAUUGGACAAUGGGGGAAAGCCGGAUCCAGCAAGGCCGCGUGUGUGAAGAAGGUUUUCGGAUUGUAAAGCACUUUAAGUUGGGAGGCGUUACCAACAGAAUAAGCACCGGCUAACUUCGUGCCAGCAGCCGCGGUAAUAC
rnacentral:rRNA from 1 species